rnacentral:rRNA from 1 species
AGCUGUAAGGCUUGGUGGAGUUUUAACAAGUAAGAAUGUUGGCAUGAGUAGCAAAAAUGCCGGUGAGAAUCCGGCAGGCCGAAAGUCUAAGGAUUCCUACGCAACGUUGAUCGGCGUAGGGUUAGUCGGUCCUAAGGCGUAUCCGAAAGGAAAAGUCGAUGGAUAGCUGGUGAAUAUUCCAGCACCUAUAAUUAAUUGUUUGAUUCAAAGAGGUGACGCAGAAGGAUAAACAGAGCAUACGUAUUGGACAUCGUGUGUUUUUGCUUGUAGAUGAGUAGAGAAGGUUAAAAUAUUUUCUACGUUUGAAUUGAGGGGCGAGAAAACUAUGAGGUUCGCCUCAUAUAAUUCUGUUGAAUCUAUACUGCCCAGAAAAGCCUCGUUGAGUAGAUUUUUUGUAGACCGUACCGCAAACCAACACAGGUAGACAGGGAUAAAAGUCCCAAGGCCCUCGAGAGAACCAUCGUUAAGGAACUCGGCAAAUUGACCCCGUAACUUAGGGAGAAGGGGGGCCUUCUUUGUAUAUGAGCUUGCCUCAAAAAGCAUAGAAGGUAGCAUAAAAUAGGCUGAAGCGACUGUUUACCAAAAACACAGGUCCAUGCCAAAGCGUAAGCUGAUGUAUAUGGGCUGACGCCUGCCCAGUGCCGGUAGGUUAAGGAAAGUUGUGCAAGCAACUGACUGAAGCCCCGGUGAACGGCGGCCGUAACUAUAACGGUCCUAAGGUAGCGAAGUCCCUUGUCGGGUAAGUUCCGACCCGCACGAAUGGCGUAACGACUUCAGCACUGUCUCAACGAUGGACUCGGUGAAAUUGCAGGACCGGUAAAGAUGCCGGUUACGCGCAGCAGGACAAAAAGACCCCGUGGAGCUUUACUGCAACUUGGCAUUGGUUCGAGUUUUAAAAUGUGUAGGAUAGGCGGGAGACUUUGAACUCUAGGCGUUAGCCUAGGGGGAGUCGCCCUUGAAAUACCGCCCUUUUUAUGAUUUGGACCUAACACUUUUGGACAGUGUCUGGUGGGCAGUUUGACUGGGGCGGUCGCCUCCCAAAGAGUAACGGAGGCGUACAAAGGUCACCUCAGGCUGGAUGGAAAUCAGCUUUUGAGUGCAUUGGCAUAAGGUGGCUUGACUGCGAGACCUACAAGUCGAGCAGGGACGAAAGUCGGUCAAAGUGAUCCCACGAUUCCGAGUGGAAGGGUCGUGGCUUAACGGAUAAAAGCUACCCCGGGGAUAACAGGCUUAUCUUGCCCAAGAGUCCAUAUCGACGGCAAGGUUUGGCACCUCGAUGUCGGCUCGUCGCAUCCUGGGGCUGAAGAAGGUCCCAAGGGUCGGGCUGUUCGCCCGUUAAAGCGGCACGCGAGCUGGGUUCAGAGCGUCGUGAGACAGCUCGGUCUCUAUCCGCUGUGCGCGUAGGAUAUUUGAAGGAAUUUGCUCCUAGUACGAGAGGACCGGAGUGAGCAAACCAAUGGUGUAUCGGUUGUAACGCCAGUUGCAUUGCCGAGUAGCUAAGUUUGUUAGGGAUAAGCGCUGAAAGCAUCUAAGUACGAAGCCCCUCCUGAGAUAAGAUAUCCCAUCUCUUUAUGAGAGUAAGAUCCCCGGAAGACUACCGGGUUGAUAGGCUACAUGUGUAAGUAUAGUAAUAUAUUCAGCUAAGUAGUACUAAUAGAUCGAGGAUUUGAUAAA